rnacentral:piRNA from 1 species
AGCCUUAUUGAAAUUCUGUGGCUGUUCCCUG